rnacentral:lncRNA from 1 species
UACACCGCAGCUCAUGGCAACACCAGAUCCUUAACCCACUGAGUGAGGCCAGGGAUUGAACCCGAAACCUCAUGGUUACUAGUCAGAUUUGUUUCUGCUGUGCCACAAGGAGAACUCCUCCAAACAGUAGUUUUUUGUUUGUUUGUUUUUGUUUUUGUUUUUGUUUGUUUGGGUUUUUUUUUUUUGCUUUUUAGGGCCACCCACGUGUGGCAUGUCAAAGUUCCCAGGCUACAGGUGGAAUCAGAGCUGUAGCUGUAAGCCUACACCACAGCCACAGCAACAAAGGAUCCAAGCUACAUCUUCACCCUACACCACAGCUCACAGCAAGGACAGAUCCAACUGAUCGAAGCCAGGGAUCAAACCCGCCUCCCCUUGGAUACUAGUUGGAUUCAUUACCACUGAGCCGCAACAGGAACUCCUCCAAACAUUCUGAUCAGCCAUAUUUUAAGAGUUCAAGAACCUUCGGUCACUAGUGGCUACAACACAGGUCUAGAUAAAUAGCAGAACUGGAAAAGAGCCCAGAUAGUCAAUGAGUUUCUCUAACACUUAGAGGAAAAGGCUCUUCACAGAGGGGGUAAAGGACUGAAAAUUAUUUUUCUCUGCAUAUUAAUGGAGAAAGGGGAGGUAUCCACUCAAGAUCCACCCUGUCUCUCCCUCCAGCCUCUCAGACCUGGGGUGAGGAGACAGAACUGGUGUGGGGUCUUCCCUACUUCUCCAGCACCUCAAGGACAACGAAGAUGACCCCUACAGACCCCACACCCGUAUCAUGCCUUGCACAUCGAUAAAUGCUUUAAUAUCUUAUUUAGUCAUUUUAAUCAUACUGUGCAGUAGUCAGUGGAGUAUUGCUAUCAUCAUUUUAUAAAUGAACUGGAGCUCAGGGAGAUUAAAUGAUUUGCCCCAAGUAGCACAGUUAACAUCCAAGUGUUUUGAAGCUUAAUCUAGUAUGUGUCCCCCUAAAUCAGAACUGCCUGGUGAAAGAAAGAAUUUACUGAAGUAUGGAAUUUUUUUCUCCUUUGGUAAUACCCCAAGGUUUCCCCCGCACCCCUACCCCCCACCAAAAAAAAAACCCAAACCAAUAAUCACUUUACAAAAGUAAUAAUUAAAUAAUCUCUUGGCCAGUUGAGUUUUGACUGGGUUUUGUUUUUGUUUUAAGUUGUAUAUUGUUGUCCAGUUUAGCAAAUUUCGAACAUCUCACUCUUGAGAGCAAGUUAAAACACACAAUGCAAAAAGGCAAAAUUUUUGCACUGGCCCUGAAAUGUGUUGCAAUCAUUUCUGUCUGGGAAAACAAACAGAAGCGGAUCAGCAGCAUGUUUGUUAUGUGAGAUGCUGGCCAAGUCCCAGCCCCGGGGACACUGCCUUACCUACCAACAAUACUACUCUUUCAGGCAAUGCCAGCUGUUUUAUGAGACACCACAGACCUCUGGAAGUGAACCACUCUAGUCAGCAGGAUCUAACUUUACUACUGCCAUGUUGGGAAUUAUAAUACUAUCACCUUUUGCUGCAUC